rnacentral:lncRNA from 12 species
UCUGCUGGAAGCAGGACAGCAGGAGCUGGAAGGAGGGAGCAUCCCUUGUUCACGCCGCAUUCCCUGGGACGGGUGCAUGGAACCAUGUGCACUCGAGGAAGCUGUUGGCUGCCUGGUCUCCUGCCCACUGUCUGUGCCCCCAGAGGAGACUGUUUCUCCAACCUUCUCUCCCAGGACGUCUGCUGGGACCUCCUGACACUACUCACAGGCUUGCCUGGUGGCUGCGUUCUGUGUUUAGCCGAUGGGUUGCACCUCCUCUCCCAUCUCUGCUUGCCCCUGCGUGUCAGCCUUGUCCUGUCUGUCCCUGUGUGGUCACUGAUCCUUCCCUUGAGGAUGAAGGUAUUCUCAGGUAAAAGCCACCUUGAGAGGAAUCUGGGAGGACCAGGCCCGUGGAAGCUGCAGUUUCAGGCAGCAGGGCUCAAGGUGUCCUCGCUGUUUGCAGGUGUGACCUUCAUGGUCCCCGCAUUGACUGUUCUAGCUGCUGCCACAAAUCCAAUUUCAAAUAAUAACAUUUAUUUGAAUAUCAUGGUCUCCAUCUCUGACUUCUGUCCCCAUGACUCCUUCAUGCUUGCAUUGACAGCAUCUCCGUUCCCCAGGAUGGCCUUAAAACGGAGUCAAGUUCUAUCACAUCUUCUUCCCAGGGGUGGUAAAUGCAGCAGAACAGAAACCUUCGUAGAGAACUUUUUUUCAUUUUUAUUGUGGAAAAAUGUCUGCAAAAUUUCCAUGAUACAGGGUGCUUGUUAUUAGCCAGGAAUCUUUAUUAUGAGGAUUUUCCCCCGUAGCAAAGUAGGCACCAGCAGGAGUGUUUUCUGAGAUUGGUGAACCCUGAGGUCAGGAGAUCGAGGGGAGAUGUGUCACUGGAGUUUGUCUCCGGUGGAGCAUGGCGAGGGGCAUUCCUCUGGCAGCAUCUCAGAGCCACCCUGCCAGGUGGCUUGCAUUCCCGUCUUGGAGCCAUGGCCUGCUUGGUCACCAUCCCUACACCCCCAGGCUCUCCCUUUCCUUCUACUGUGUUGGGAUGUCCAGGUGGGGAGCUGGGGUCCUCUGCUGGGCUGUCACUGACCCUUCCCUGCCCCAUGGAGGGGCCGGUGGUCACAGUGCACAGUGGCCCUUUCCUGGGUCCCCAAGGGCACCUUCCCUCCUGGAGGCCUUGGAGAGCAGUGCUCCUGGAUUUUUUUUUUUUUAAGAUUUUAUUUAUUCACUAGUGAGACAUACACACACACACACACACACACACACAGAAAGAGAGAGAGAGAGAGAGAGAGAGAGAGAGAGAGAGAGAGGCAGAGACACAGGCAAAGGGAGAAUCAUAUUCCAUGAAUCAAGCCUGACGUGGGACUUGAUGCCGGGUCUCCAGGAUCAGGGCCUGGGCUGAAGGCAGGCACUAAACUGCUGAGCCACUCAGACUGCCCCUCUUGGAUGUUUUACAUCCAAAUUAAAUUUGUGCUGAUUUAAUUAGAACACAUAAUGACUUCAUCAUUCCCACUACUGGGUCCUGAGCAAAUGGCUUCUCUCUGGACACGGCUGUCCUCACUGCCGG